GGUUCAUACUUCAUAGGGUCCCUAAAUUUUGGAAUUCGCUCAUCAGUUUUUCUCAUACCAAAAAUGGAGUCGGAGGUCCAAAAGCCUUCAUCAGAGCUCGCCGUUCUCUCGCAAAGCACCGAGGAAGACAGACCACCGCCAAGAUCCAGGCCGCCCCCGAAGCGGUUUGUGAAGAAUCAAAUUCCCGAUUCCAUCCUUAACGAUCCUGCCUUGAACGCCGCCAUUUCUCUCCUUCCUUCCAACUACAACUUCGAGGUUCACAAGUGCGUAUGGCGAAUUCUCUCCUCCUCCGCCUCCCGUGUUGCGCUUCAGCUCCCCGAAGGUCUUCUCAUGUACUCUCUCAUCCUCUCCGAUAUCCUCACCACUUUCGGCAAAGCCUCCCACUGCUUCGUUCUUGGCGAUGUCACUUUUGGCGCUUGUUGUGUUGAUGACCUUUCAGCCUCCGCUCUCCAUGCCGAUCUCCUCAUUCAUUACGGCCAUAGCUGCCUCGUCCCUAUCGACUCCACUACCAUUCCCUGCCUCUAUGUUUUCGUAGACAUUGCUAUUGAUGUGCCUCGUCUUGUUAAUACUGUUCGUCUCAAUGUUGAUUGCCUUGAUUCCACAAACUUGGUACUUGCUGGAACAAUUCAAUUCGCCUCUGCUAUUAGAGCUUCGAAGAUGGAGCUAGAGAGACAUGGCAUCAGGGUUUUAAUUCCUCAGUCCAGGCCAUUGUCUGCUGGGGAAGUUCUGGGCUGUACGGCUCCUAAAGUUUCUACUGCUGCGUUCGGUAAUAAUGGGGAGACUGUUGCGAUUUUUGUGGCCGAUGGGAGGUUUCAUUUGGAAGCUUUCAUGAUUGCGAAUCCUGGAAUUAGGGUUUUCCGGUAUGAUCCAUAUGUUGGUAAGUUAUUGCUUGAGGAGUAUGAUCAUGAAGGAAUGAAGGCGUCGAGAAAAGGCGCGAUUUUGAAGGCGAAGGAAGCUACAAAUUGGGGUAUUGUGUUGGGAACUUUAGGAAGGCAAGGGAACCCUAAAAUUUUGGAGAGAUUGGAGGAGAAGAUGAAGUCUAAAGGAUUUGAUUAUACUGUUGUAUUAAUGUCUGAAAUCAAUCCUUAUAGAGUGGCUUUGUUUGAGGAUUCGGUGGAUGCAUGGAUUCAGAUAGCUUGUCCCCGUCUUUCAAUUGACUGGGGAGAUGCUUUUGCUAAGCCUCUUCUUACUCCAUUUGAGGCUGAGGUAGCUCUUGGACUAAUUCCUGGUUGGUGGGAGAGGUCGACCGCAGCUAAAUUGAGUUGUAAUGAUUGUCGGGAAUGUGGAUGUAAUAGCGAUCAAACAGAUAAGGCGGAAGCUGAAGGAGAAUAUCCUAUGGAUUAUUAUGCUCAGGAUGGUGGUGAAUGGAACUCUUCCUAUGUAAAGAAGAAAGUUUCUCGCCCAGUUCGGAGAGAUGUUGUUUCCUGUAUCAGGGACAAAGCCAUUUCUUUACAUUAGCCUCUUCAAAUAAGAAAAUCAAAUUCUUCGGUAGAUGAAGCUACUCCCCCUUAUAGUUCGAGACAUGGUUAGGCUUUACAAGUCUCGUGGAGAAAAUUACUUGUCUUGGAGCUGUGGCUACUUAUUAUCUCUUCAAUAGAAAACGAAAUAGAUUUCAUUGAUGAUGAUGGAUACAGACAUCAUUCUGACGGAGAAGUCUUGCACAUAUUGUGGUGCAUCUGCGCACGUGGUUGAUAAGUGUUAUAAAGUUUGCAUGGAUAUCCUUCUGGUCAAAGAGUGAAACAAUUCCUGAGGCAUCCUUUCUCUCGCUUUAGAGUAGUCGAGAUUUUCAUUUCACAGUAGUUAAAAUGCUUUGGAAAUUCUAGCUUCUGCUGCCAUGGCUGAUUGGAAGAGUGUCUUCCACCGAGAGUUUUGUUCCAUCUCUCUGCCAAAAGCAGUGUCAGAACUCGAUCUUGAUGUAAUGUGGCCGUCAAUCACUGCAAAAUUUUACAAAACACCACAGUUCACCUAGGCAAGUUACAUAUCUUUUGACCUCUUCUCGAUUCCUGUAUUACUUUUUUUCCCCUCUUUGCCGCUUGUUCUGGAUGCUUUUACUAUACUGUCAAAUGAUGAGAACAUUUUUGUUGAACAAGUUUGUGAAGCUCGAAUAUCAUACUGAAGAGUAUUCUUCUUUUGCCAA